rnacentral:rRNA from 1 species
CCAUGGAAGCUGUGAGCGCCCGAAGUCCGUGUCGCAACCUGGGCAAACCAGGGGCAAGCGGCCGAAGGCGAGCGCAGUGACUGGGGCG